UCGUCAGUGAGGUAUAUCCUUACCUGUUACUCCCUCCGGGGAGUAUCAGAACAUGAUGAAUGGAGCUUUAUGAGAUAUGAUUAAUAUCUCUGGCUUGAGGGGAACAGCAACACCCCUCAUGACCCAUUCUGAU
ensembl:snoRNA U8 U8 small nucleolar RNA